rnacentral:rRNA from 1 species
UACGAAGGGGGCUAGCGUUGCUCGGAAUCACUGGGCGUAAAGGGUGCGUAGGCGGGUCUUUAAGUCAGGGGUGAAAUCCUGGAGCUCAACUCCAGAACUGCCUUUGAUACUGAAGAUCUUGAGUUCGGGAGAGGUGAGUGGAACUGCGAGUGUAGAGGUGAAAUUCGAUAGAUAUUCGCAAGAACACCAGUGGCGAAGGCGGCUCACUGGCCCGAUACUGACGCUGAUGCACGAAAGCGUGGGGAGCAAACAGG